CAAAACAGGAAGGAGCGGUUCCAGCUUAUUCAAGAGGUUGAGAGGUAAUGUGUGAAGGGGUGGGUAGGUGGUUCCGCGUCUGUCCCCUCUUCUUCUUCCUUCUUCGCCUCCUCCUUCUACGGAACGGACUUGCACAGCUGCUUGCACUUGGACCUCCCCCACCUGUGGAGGCGGCAGGAGCGGCUGCGGAGGUCGUGGCAGCGUUGGUAGUAGCCGUUCGGCCUCCGGCAUGCGAGGAAUGGGGUAGAGGGGGGAAAGGAGUUGUAGAACGGAUCCGAUGGAAGGGAGAACAGCGCCGCUGUCAUAGAGGAACGGCUAGGUAUAUCCGCACCGGCAGGGGACCUAAGGCAGGCAGAGAAUCCAGACCGGGAAGUUAGACAAUCCCAAAACCCCCUAGCUAAGCUACGACCCCCAAACAAGGGGAAGGAGACCGGUUAAUAAGUACAAACGAAAAGGGACCUUCUAGAAAGAGGGCGCUGACGACUUUAACGCCUAUGCCACAAAACUAGACAUCCAAACAUACCGUAAAAGUACGCACCUCGUUCAAGCUCCAAGACUAGACCCCAAUACAGGUCAAAUCCUGACACGAAGAAUACCAGUAGACAAGCAAACAACUUGGUUCAUUUGAAACAUCAAGUACAACAAAUAGUUAAUCGUACGUGCGACUUUUAACUUUCGAACCUGAUUUGGGCUUACCUUGGUUCCAAGUCAAACAACGACAAACCACCAGUUCAGCAACAGAAGAGCAAAACCUAUACAAGAAGUUCCAACGUUCCCACAAACUGCACGACAAUGAACGACACUGUACUUAUACGACUUUGAACUUUAUGUACAAUGAACCAUUUCUCCACUUUAUAUUAGUUGGAUAGAAAACACGUUGUUGUUUAGUCUAUUGUUUGUACCGGCUGUAGAUUGGUAAUGUUUAAAGAGACAUUUGUAUCACAUGCUACAGAUCUUUUGAAGUUCUCAUGGUACUUCGAAUACACAUCGAAAGAGAGUUUUCUUAAAACUUUGGAAGUAUAAAGGGUAAAAAGAAACAGUAACACCAUUGUCUCCUUAACUAAUCCUCCGAUACUAAUAACAGAUACCGUUCCGACCUCACUUGUACGACAAAAGUGUCAAAUAAAACGAAAUCUCUAAAACGAAACCCUCCGUUAUAGACGUUCAGAAAGGUCUUUAUGUACAACUGAAUGAGACGAAAAGAAAGGAUACAUCUCCAUGUUCUAUACCGACAAAAGACGCACAAGAAGAUAUUAAUGAUUAAGUCUUGGGGUAUAUAGUCUUUUAAUAUCUUAUACGCGUCAUGGUAAUUAGAAAACAUUUAGACCUGUCGAGUACAAAAUGAGAUCCGCGAAGGGAUACGGUGUUUAUAGUGUGGAUGGUGGAAAUUCUUGAAAUAAACGCAUACAAAAAUGUCUUUACGUCCGGUAAAGGAACAAAGAGUUCAAAAAGACAAGAUUUAUAUGACCCCAUAAUAAAACCUUUCGAUUAACAUGAAUCUAAUCAACAAAAAUUCAUAUCGUUAUUUAAUCAUAAUCAUUCUUUACCGAGGUUAUCAAUGAAAACAACAAUAUAGUCUGUAUAAAUUCUAGUUUUACUUCUCAUGGCUCAACGAGACCUCUAAACCUCUAUACUAUACUAUACUACGUUACAGUCUGUGAACUUGACGACUUUUGAAUCCGACACUGUCAAAAGACAAAAAGUCGACUGGUUCAUCACCAUAUGGUUUCAAGAAGGAGUGGCGGAAAAAGUAAGUCUAUGAUUGAACUCACGAAGGCUGUCAUACAAUACCAACAAGAGUUCCCAAGUCACGGGUACCGUAAACCUCCAUGGGUCCUCGGACGUCGGAUGCCGCUCGACCAAAGGUAGCCUCCCGACUUGCGACUACACUUGUUCUUCGACUCACGGCCGUAACGAAGGUAGGACCUCAGUUUCGACAGGUAGGGGUUCAGGGCGAAGAUGGAGUUCAAGGUGCUAAGUUUCGCGAGUCUGAAACCUACCUUACCUAGGUGGAAAAUCUGCGUAGUAUACCGUACCUCGGAACGUACUUGAGGUCUCAAGGAUUAUAAGACAGGUGACGGAUAAAUUCCUCUUUGACGACGUCAUUCUGUAGCACAGUCAAAUUACCGGUCACAAAUACUCAUGGCCUCAUGAACACACUAGAUCAACCAAACCAAACCCUGAACGGUACCGUUCCCUAGCAGCGUUGACAAGCCAAACUGAGCUAAGCAUUAGUACUUCGGAAAACCACAGGAGACACAAACACGACCAACAACUCAAGGUCACUAAACGACGUACUCGAUUUUAAGUCCUAAACGUAUUCCACGUGGGACGUUGACACCUUGUAUGGAAACCACCCGUAUCCGAGACAAACCGCAGUGCCACUAGACACUAUUGGAAGCAGCCGCAUCGACGA
rnacentral:rRNA from 1 species